rnacentral:rRNA from 1 species
UACAGAGGUCCCGAGCGUUGUUCGGAUUCACUGGGCGUAAAGGGUGCGUAGGUGGUUGUGCAAGUCUGAUGUGAAAUCUCCGGGCUCAACCCGGAAAUGGCAUUGGAAACUGCAUGGCUAGAGGGUUGGAGGGGGGACUGGAAUACUUGGUGUAGCAGUGAAAUGCGUAGAUAUCAAGUGGAACACCAGUGGCGAAGGCGAGUCCCUGGACAACACCUGACACUGGGGCACGAAAGCUAGGGGAGCAAACAGG